CCAGACUCCUACGGGAGGCAGCAGUGAGGAAUAUUGGUCAAUGGCCGGAAGGCUGAACCAGCCAAGCCGCGUGAGGGAGGAAGGCGCAGAGCGUCGCAGACCUCUUUUGCCGGGGGACAAAAGGCCGGACUCGUCCGGUCCUGAGGGUACCCGGAGAAAAAGCAUCGGCUAACUCCGUGCCAGCAGCCGCGGUAAUACGGAGGAUGCGAGCGUUAUCCGGAUUUAUUGGGUUUAAAGGGUGCGCAGGCGGUCUGUUAAGUCAGCGGUCAAAGCCCGGGGCUCAACCCCGGUCCGCCGUUGAAACUGGCAGUCUCGAGUUGGAGAGAAGUAUGCGGAAUGCGCGGUGUAGCGGUGAAAUGCAUAGAUAUCGCGCAGAACUCCGAUUGCGAAGGCAGCAUGCCGGCUCCACACUGACGCUGAGGCACGAAAGCGUGGGUAUCGAACAGGAUUAGAUACCCGUGUA
rnacentral:rRNA from 1 species